rnacentral:rRNA from 1 species
CAGCCGCCACGGGAAUACGUAGGGUGCAAGCGUUAAUCGGAAUUACUGGGCGUAAAGCGCGCGUAGGCGGUUACUCAAGUCAGAGGUGAAAGCCCGGGGCUCAACCCCGGAACUGCCUUUGAAACUAGGUAACUAGAAUCCUGGAGAGGUCAGUGGAAUUCCGAGUGUAGAGGUGAAAUUCGUAGAUAUUCGGAAGAACACCAGUGGCGAAGGCGACUGACUGGACAAGUAUUGACGCUGAGGUGCGAAAGCGUGGGGAGCAAACAGGAUUAGAUACCCGUGUAGUCCCUGUCUCUUAUAC